rnacentral:rRNA from 1 species
AGAUCCCUUCGGGGUGAAGCUCGUGGAACGAGCGGCGGACGGGUGAGUAACACGUGGGCAACCUGCCUGUAAGAUCGGAAUAACCCCGGGAAACCGGGGCUAAUGCCGGGUAAUACUUUUCUUCGCAUGAAGAUAAGUUGAAAGAUGGCUUCUCGCUAUCACUUACAGAUGGGCCCGCGGCGCAUUAGCUAGUUGGUGAGGUAACGGCUCACCAAGGCAACGAUGCGUAGCCGACCUGAGAGGGUGAUCGGCCACACUGGGACUGAGACACGGCCCAGACUCCUACGGGAGGCAGCAGUAGGGAAUCUUCCGCAAUGGACGAAAGUCUGACGGAGCAACGCCGCGUGAACGAUGAAGGUCUUCGGAUCGUAAAGUUCUGUUGUCAGGGAAGAACAAGUACCGUGCGAAUAGAGCGGUACCUUGACGGUACCUGACGAGGAAGCCCCGGCUAACUACGUGCCAGCAGCCGCGGUAAUACGUAGGGGGCAAGCGUUGUCCGGAAUUAUUGGGCGUAAAGCGCGCGCAGGCGGUUCCUUAAGUCUGAUGUGAAAGCCCACGGCUCAACCGUGGAGGGUCAUUGGAAACUGGGGAACUUGAGGACAGAAGAGGAGAGUGGAAUUCCACGUGUAGCGGUGAAAUGCGUAGAUAUGUGGAGGAACACCAGUGGCGAAGGCGACUCUCUGGUCUGUUUCUGACGCUGAGGUGCGAAAGCGUGGGUAGCAAACAGGAUUAGAUACCCUGGUAGUCCACGCCGU